rnacentral:rRNA from 1 species
AUUGAACGCUGGCGGCAUGCCUUACACAUGCAAGUCGAACGGUAACAGAUCUUCGGAUGCUGACGAGUGGCGAACGGGUGAGUAAUACAUCGGAACGUGCCCGAUCGUGGGGGAUAACGAAGCGAAAGCUUUGCUAAUACCGCAUAAGAUCUACGGAUGAAAGCAGGGGACCGCAAGGCCUUGCGCGAACGGAGCGGCCGAUGGCAGAUUAGGUAGUUGGUGGGAUAAAAGCUUACCAAGCCGACGAUCUGUAGCUGGUCUGAGAGGACGACCAGCCACACUGGGACUGAGACACGGCCCAGACUCCUACGGGAGGCAGCAGUGGGGAAUUUUGGACAAUGGGCGAAAGCCUGAUCCAGCCAUGCCGCGUGCAGGAUGAAGGCCUUCGGGUUGUAAACUGCUUUUGUACGGAACGAAAAGACUCUGGUUAAUACCUGGGGUCCAUGACGGUACCGUAAGAAUAAGCACCGGCUAACUACGUG